UUUACAUUAUAAUAAGAAUUAAAGUAUUAGUAAUUUAUUUUUGUUACUAAAAUUAAAAUCAGUUUGUUCCUGCAUAAAUCUUUUUUGUACUAAACUGCUUUGGAAUGAAUUUUUUGGGGGGACAACAGCAGGAUUAGGGCCGUCUUCUAGAUGCCAUCAGGUAGGUGCGCUAGCGUAGUCGUGUGUUGUAGCAUUAUAUCCCUUUUCCCCCUUUUUUAAAAAUGUUUGUAAGACGCCUGAAAUUUGUAUAAGUUAGUUAUAUAAGUAGUUGAAUAAGAAUUGGUGAGACUUGGAAAAUAGAAGAGGAUUGCUUUGAAAUAGAAGGAAAGGAGAUAGAAGAUGUUUGAGGGGAAAGGAGGAGGAUUUUGUUCGCUGUAAUGGAAGUUUUUUGAAUGAAAUUUGGUGCAACUGUAUUAAGGUGUUAUUGAUAUCUUGGACAUCAGGUUUCAUUUAUUUGUGUAUUAUACAAGCCUAUCUAUUGGUGGAUAUGUAAAAUGGCAGCUGGUAUAACACCUUGUAUGAAUUAUUAGUAACUCCAAAGAAAUUUUUACAUAAUUUAAACUGGGAAGAAGCUCAUAAAAGACGAGUUUAGGCUGCAGUAGUACCAGGACCUUAAAUUGGCUUCCACAACACAGAUAUCUUUCAAAAAUGAUAUCUGUUCGAGUGAUGUACUGGGCGUUAACAGUUGCUGUUACAAAUCUGCAAAUGAGUUACUACUGUGCAUACGUUUGAGGAAUGUCAAGAAAUGUUUUGAAUGAAACGAUAGUGAAAAACUUGUCCACAAAUGUCAAUUUCAAGAUACAAUCAAUAGUACUUAGAUUGAUUAGCCUUCAUUACCAUUGCACUAUGAAAAUGUCAGCAAUACAAAUUGGUAUUAAUGGACGUUUUGACAGCUGUUUCCAGUCCAAGUUCCAGUUUUAAUGGAAAAUCUUCAAUGGACACAGAAAAAUGCCAUUUACUGGAUUGACUUCUACACCUGUUGCCUUUUAAUAAUGGUAUACAACGGUACAAUUAUUGCUGUUAGAAGUCAACAAGUAGUACUAGUUGCAGAUAAUAUAUUAUGGUGGACAUCAAAAAGCUUUAAAUGGAAUGAAACUUGCAGGAAGAAUAAAGGAAAACCAUUUUAGACUGUAUAUGUAAUAGCUGUUAGAGUGGAUGCAGUCCUUCAUCAAUGUGAGCUGAACAAAUUGAUGGUAAUGGACAUUUUGACAGCUGCUGUCACAACUCAACGAACAAGUUGCAGCUUUGAAGGAAAAUUUUUGAUUGGAUACAGAGAAAUGUCAGUCGUUUCAGGAUGGAAAGUUAAUAGAACCAGGGUUGGGCUCGACAUCUGUUGCCUUUUAAUAAUGGCAUACGAUAGGACAAUUGCUAUUAGAAACCGAUAAGACAUACUAGCUGCAAAUAAUAUGUAUGGUGGUCAUAAAAGAGAUUUAAAUGGAAUGAGAGAGAGGAACUUGUGCAGAAGAAAUCGAGGUAAACCAUUUUGAACUGCUGUUACUUAAUAGCUGUUAGAGCGUAUCCAGUUCUUUAUGAAUGGUAUAUGCUGGGGCAAUUGCUGUUAAAAAUCCACAAGUCGUACUAUCUGCAAAUAUUAUGGCGGACAUCAAAAAGCUUUAAAUGGAAUGAAACUUGUGCAGAAGAAAUCGAGGAAAACCAUUUUGAACUGCUGUUACAUAAUAGCUGUUAGAGCGGAUCCAGUUCUUUAUCAAUGGUAUACGAUGGGGCAAUUACUGUUAUAAAUCCACAAACCGUACUAUCUGCAAAUAUUAUGGCGGAAAUCAAAAAGCUUUAAAUGGAAUGAAACUUGUUCAGAAGAAAUCGAGGAAAACCAUUUUGAACUGCUGUUACUUAAUAGCUAUUAGAACGCAUCCAGUUCCUUAUCAGUGGUAUAUGCUGGGACAAUUGCUGUUAAAAAUCCACAAGCCGUACUAUCUGCAAAUAUUAUGGUGGUGAUCAAAAAGCUUUAAAUGGAAUGAAAUUUGCAGGAAAAGACUCAGAAAGACCAUUUAGGACUGUACUUAAUAGCUGUUGAAAAGUGGUCGCAGUCCUUUAUCAAUGAUAUCUCCUCAUUUUCUUAACAAUGGAUAUCAACAGUUGCUCCUACUCCUCGCUUUCCUCUUUCACUCAACAUGAAGCAGACUCAAUAUUCCUCAAUAUCUGACCAAGGUUCGUUAGCUUCAUUAAUAUUGUUAUUGUUUCAAUAAAUUUGUUUACUGGUUUUUAUCCUUUUCUUAACUAUUUAAGUAUAUCAGGCGUCAUAUUAGUGUUAUUGAUUUUUUGUAAAAUUUUGAUAAUCUGGAUAAAAACCGUUUUUUUUCUUAAGAUUUUGCAAAUAAAAUACUUGUUAAGAACAAUUAACUUUAUUUCAUGAAUAGGAUAUAUUUCUGUUUAUAUUGUCUUUUUUUUUAUUUAUAUUUUGAUGCUCUAUUUAUUAUCUAAUCGCCUCUAGUUUGAGGCAUGUUUGAUUAAUUUUAUAUCAUUAACAUCUAUGCAUUAAUCUUUAUGAAAAAUAUGUUGAGCAAUAUAAUAAUAAUCUGUUAUAAUUUCUCUUCAAUCUCAUUUAUCUUUUACUUUUGCAUUAUAU